rnacentral:rRNA from 1 species
AAGUCGGUCGUCUGUGCUGGUGGCAACACAUGUGCACGUCAAUCGCAUAUCCACACACCUGUGCACUUUUGACUUUGGGAUCCGCUUGUUGGCUUGUCUGACUUGCAGCUGGUUUGGUCUUGCACCUGGCCUGGGUCACAGAGUAAUUUUUACACACUCUGAAUGUAAUGGAAUGUCUUGUGCAUAAUGCAUAUAAAAACAACUUUCAACAACGGAUCUCUUGGCUCUCGCACCGAUGAAGAACGCAGCGAAAUGCGAUAAGUAAUGUGAAUUGCAGAAUUCAGUGAAUCAUCGAAUCUUUGAACGCACCUUGCACCUUUUGGUAUUCCGAAAGGUACACCCGUUUGAGUGUCAUUGUAAUCUCACUCCUUCAACUUUUGUUGCUGGAUGUGGACUUGGACUCUGUCGUGUYACAACGACUGGUCUGAAAUGCCUGAGUGCACCCUGCUGUUGCAGCGUCUUCAGUGUGAUAAGCAUCUUCACUGAUUCAAGUUCCUUCGGGACACGUAGCAUUGUGGGCUCUGUGCUGACGAACCGUCUUUGGACAAUCUUUGACAAUUUGACCUCAAAUCGGGUGGGACUACCCGCUGAACUUAAGCAUAUCAAUAAGCGGAGGAAAAGAAACUAACAAGGAUUCCCCUAGUAACGGCGAGUGAAGAGGGAAAAGCUCAAAUUUUGAAUCUGGUGUCUUUGGCGCCCGAGUUGUAAUCUAGAGAAGUGUUUUCUGCCUYGGACCACACAUAAAUUCCCUGGAAUGGGGUGUCAUAGAGGGUGAGAAUCCCGUUUGUGGUGUGGACUACCUUGGCUCUGUGAUACACUCUCAACGAGUCGAGUUGUUUGGGAAUGCAGCUCAAAAUGGGUGGUAAAUUCCAUCUAAAGCUAAAUAUUGGCGAGAGACCGAUAGCGAACAAGUACCGUGAGGGAAAGAUGAAAAGCACUUUGGAAAGAGAGUGAAACAGUACGUGAAAUUGUUGAAAGGGAAGCGUUUGAAGUCAGUCACAUCGGUCGGAAUUCAGCCUGGCUUUGCCUGGUGUACUUUUUGGCAGAUGGGUCAGCGUCAAUUUUGACUGAGGGAAAAAGACUUGAGGAAUGUGGCUGUCUUCRGGCAGUGUUAUAGCCUCUUGUUGUAUGUCUCAGUUGGGAUUGAGGACCGCAGCACGCCUUAUGGCCGGGGUUCGCGCCCUCGGAACGUGCUUAGGACGCUGGCAUAAUGGCUUUAAGCGAC